GAUGAACGCUAGCUACAGGCUUAACACAUGCAAGUCGCAGGGUAACAUGAGGGAAGCUUGCUUUCCUUGAUGACGACUGGCGCACGGGUGAGUAACGCGUAUCCAACCUUCCCAUAACUACGGGAUAACCCGUUGAAAGACGGCCUAAUACCGUAUGAUAUCGUUUGCUGACAUCAAAUAACGAUUAAAGGUUUAGCGGUUAUGGAUGGGGAUGCGUCUGAUUAGCUUGUUGGCGGGGUAACGGCCCACCAAGGCGACGAUCAGUAGGGGUUCUGAGAGGAAGGUCCCCCACAUUGGAACUGAGACACGGUCCAAACUCCUACGGGAGGCAGCAGUGAGGAAUAUUGGUCAAUGGGCGAGAGCCUGAACCAGCCAAGUAGCGUGCAGGAUGACGGCCCUAUGGGUUGUAAACUGCUUUUAUGUGGGGAUAAAGUGCGUGACGUGUCAUGCAUUGCAGGUACCACAUGAAUAAGGACCGGCUAAUUCCGUGCCAGCCGCCGCGGUAAAAGGG
rnacentral:rRNA from 1 species